AAUAAGUUAUAGCAUUAUAAAGUUAAAUAUAAUAUGAAUAAUAAAAUCGAGAAUUUUCACACGAAAAUAGCAUUCGGUAGCCAUUUUCGCCGUGAAGAAAAGUCCAGAGGUCAAAUUUUUUUUUUUCAAAUUAAAGUAUAUUACAUUAGCUUUAAUUUAAGGUAUAUAUAAAAUUGUCAGUCUUUCCGGAACAUUUUCAAAAGUUAAGUUGAAAAAGUUAAUUUUUUGUAAAAAAGUUACCAUUUUGAAACCCCAUCCUUUGGGCUGUUAAAGGGUCAAA